rnacentral:rRNA from 1 species
AUGGGCCAACUUGAGUUGGAAGAUGAGUUCCGAGAUGAUUUAAAGGCUGCAACUGGUGAACUCAACGAUGCAGAUGAUGCAGAUAAUUUGAACCGCCCUAUUCAAUUGACAGGGUUCAGUGAUCCUUUGUAUGCUGAAGGAUUUGUUACCGUUAAUCAGUACCAUGAUACUGUACUUGAUAUUACAGUCAUAAACCGGACAAAAGAAACAAUGCACAACUUGUGUUUGGAGUUUGCAACAGCAUGUAAAAAUGCAGUACUUGAGCGCUCUGGAAAGUACACUGUGGCUCCCAGCGCAAGCGAGCAAAUCCAGGCUAUGAUCAAGGUUUCUUCAUCAAAUGUUGGAAUUAUAAUUACUCGCAUCGUUUACGAGACUUCAGAUGAAAUGGGGACUUCAGAGGUGAUCCUAAAAGAUAUGAGCAUUAGCAUUGCGGAUUACAUGACACCUGCUACAUGCACUGACGUAGCUUUCCGGAGGAUGUGGGCUGAGUGUCCAUGGAAAGUUAAGUUGAAGGUCAAUACCUUGCUUCAUGAUGAGAAGGCGUUUCUGAAUUUUAUAAUCAAGUCAACAAACAUGAACUGCCUAACACCAUUGUCUGCGCUUGAUGGGGACUGUGGGUUUGUUGCUGCCAAUCUCUACGCCAAGAGUGUGUUUGGCGAGGAUGCUUUGGUGAACAUCAGCAUAGCCCAACUGUAA